GUGGGGAAUAUUGCGCAAUGGGCGAAAGCCUGACGCAGCAACGCCGCGUGAGUGAUGAAGGCCUUCGGGUCGUAAAGCUCUGUCGCAGGGAACGAAAGCCACCGUUUUAAUAGAGCGGUGGUAUGACGGUACUCUGCAAGAAAGCCCCGGCCAACUCCGUGCCAGCAGCCGCGGUAAGACGGAGGGGGCGAGCGUUGUUCGGAAUUACUGGGCGUAAAGGGCGCGUAGGCGGUCAUGCAAGUCGGGGGUGAAAGCCCACGGCUCAACCGUGGAAUUGCCUUCGAAACUGCGUGACUUGAGUACGGAAGAGGAGAGCGGAAUUCCCAGUGUAGCGGUGAAAUGCGUAGAUAUUGGGAGGAACACCGGUGGCGAAGGCGGCUCUCUGGUCCGAAACUGACGCUGAGGCGCGAAAGCCAGGGGAGCAAACGGGAUUAGAAACCCGGGUAGUCC
rnacentral:rRNA from 1 species